GUUGAGUCACGGGUCGAUGUAAUCUUGACCUAUGAGUGACAAUAUACUUGAUGUCUAGGGCAUCGUAACCCAACAAGUGGGGAGUUUGAUUUGUCUUGGACAAGUUGAACGAUCUGCGGUAGCAGCGAUAUCGACGUGGUGUGGUUGGAAGUUCAGCCAUGCCCAGAUGUUGUUGUUACUUUGUAUGCUAUGUUGUUAGUGAUGACAUUCAUCUUGAGGUGAUGCGGUGUCAUGUUGCCUACUGUGUAUCUUGGUUUAGAGCUAUUACGCUUAAAACAUGUGGAUUAUCGAUUAGUGACGUGGCAUCGCUUCCUUCGUUGAUGAAAGUCGUCCAAUGUAGCGUUGGUUUAUUUGUUUUCUUCUCGUAUCGCUCGGUGCAUUCUGUGGUCAUUUUGGCUGUUGGCAGCUUGCUUGGCAAUUGAGCUUGGUGGGUUGCUACUGGUUGGGUGUCUUCGGGGAUGUCUACCGUAAAGGUGCAUGAGUGGUGUUUGGUUUGUUAUGGGUGGUUGGCUCUUUGCUUGCGCAACAACUUCUACCCGGCAUACCUCUUCAGUCUUGUGUCAAUGCUUGAAUUGCAUUGAAUGCACGGUGGGUUUCUUGUGUUGCAUGCCUAAUUAAUGGUAUCGCUUGAUGAAUUGGUAUUCUUUUCGUCUUGUGUCGCCUAUGCGAUGUGAGAUGAACCUUGAAGCAACCUUUGUGAUCCACUCUUUUGAUGCAUACGCAUUGAUUUUGUGGCCCAUUGAGUGUUGCUUGGUCUCAUGGAUAUGGAACCUGGUGUGGGCAUGGAAUCUUACUGGUUCCUUGUUUGCCCAAGUUUAGCUUUUCUAAAACGAUUGUCU
rnacentral:misc_RNA from 1 species